GACGAACGCUGGCGGCGUGCCUAACACAUGCAAGUCAACUUGAAGGAAGGAGCAAUCUGACCUGAUGGUGGCGCAAGGGUGCGUAACGCGUAAGUAACUUGCCCAAGGUAAGGAAUAACGUCGAGAAAUCGGCGCUAAUACCUCAUAAUGCAGCGGAUCCGCAUGGAUAUGUUGUUAAAGGUUUACCGCCUUGGGAUAGGCUUGCGUCUGAUUAGCUAGUUGGUGUGGUAAUGGCACACCAAGGCUACGAUCAGUAACUGGUCUGAGAGGAUGAUCAGUCACACUGGAACUGAGACAC
rnacentral:rRNA from 1 species